AGUGAACGCUGGCGGCAGGCCUAACACAUGCAAGUCGAGCGGCAGCGCGGGGGCAACCCUGGCGGCGAGCGGCGGACGGGUGAGGAAUUCGUCGGAAUCUGCCUUUUUGUGGGGGAUAACGUAGGGAAACUUACGCUAAUACCGCAUACGUCCUACGGGAGAAAGUGGGGGACCGCAAGGCCUCACGCAGAAAGAUGAGCCGACGACCGAUUAGCUAGUUGGUGGGGUAAAGGCCCACCAAGGCGACGAUCGGUAGCUGGUCUGAGAGGAUGAUCAGCCACACUGGGACUGAGACACGGCCCAGACUCCUACGGGAGGCAGCAGUGGGGAAUAUUGGACAAGGGGCGCAAGCCUGAUCCAGCCAUGCCGCGUGUGUGAAGAAGGCCUUCGGGUUGUAAAGCACUUUUGUCCGGAAAGAAAUCCCUGGAGCUAAUACCUUCGGGGGAUGACGGUACCGGAAGAAUAAGCACCGGCUAACUUCG
rnacentral:rRNA from 1 species